CCUACGGGAGGCAGCAGUAGGGAAUAUUGCUCAAUGGGGGAAACCCUGAAGCAGCAACGCCGCGUGGAGGAUGAAGGUUUUCGGAUUGUAAAGUCCUUUUGUUAGAGAAGAUAAUGACGGUAUCUAACGAAUAAGCACCGGCUAACUCCGUGCCAGCAGCCGCGGUAAUACGGAGGGUGCAAGGGUUACUCGGAAUCACGGGGCGUAAAGAGCGUGUAGGCGGGAUAGGAAGUCAGAUGUGAAAUCCUAUGGCUUAACCAUAGAACUGCAUUUGAAACUGUUAUUCUAGAGUAUGGGAGAGGUAAGUGGAAUUCUUGGUGUAGGGGUAAAAUGCGUAGAGAUCAAGAGGAAUACUCAUUGCGAAGGCGACCUGCUAGAACAUAACUGACGCUGAUGCGCGAAAGCGUGGGGAGCAAACAGGAUUAGAUACCCGUGUAGUC
rnacentral:rRNA from 1 species